rnacentral:rRNA from 1 species
UACGAAGGGGGCUAGCGUUGUUCGGAAUCACUGGGCGUAAAGAGCUCGUAGGCGGCUUGGCAAGUCGGGUGUGAAAACUUCAGGCUCAACCUGGAGAUGCCACUCGAUACUGCUAUGGCUAGAGUCCGGUAGGGGACCACGGAAUUCCUGGUGUAGCGGUGAAAUGCGCAGAUAUCAGGAGGAACACCGGUGGCGAAGGCGGGUCUCUGGGCCGUAACUGACGCUGAGGAGCGAAAGCAUGGGGAGCGAACAGG